AUGUACCUUCCUUUCACUUUCAGAAAUUGCCUUAAAGUUUGUUUUUUAUUUUUUUCUAGAAAGUCCAUUGUGAUUAGUGGCUGUGGUCAGAAGUUAUCCAGCUUGAGGCAGAUUGAAUUUCUCACAAUUCUUCACUCUCCUGUAGAGAUGUUUUUGAUAUUCCUGCUCUACACAACGGAUCCUACCAAGGAAGAAGCACUGAGGAAAUGUGACAUGAAUGUCAGCAAAAUGUACCAUACUAACAGUUGCAUCUCAAUUAAGAAAAAAAUAGAUCACCAACAUGAACCUGCGUGCUUCUGGAAGAACAGGGAUGAUCAGGAAGCUGGGAAGAGAAUCCUUCAGGUCAGGCCUGACACCGGGGAGGAGGGGGAGGUUUGCCAGGGCCACCUUGUCCCACCAGCAUCCAAGUGGAACCUUUGGGGCAUUUUCUUUCUUUCCUUUUCCUUCUUUCCUUUCUUCCAUUGUCCUUGUGCUCCUCCUCCUUGUUCUCUCUCUCUUCCUCCUUCCCUUUUUACCCCCCUUCUUCUUUCUCUCCCUCUUUUCUUCCCUCCUCUCUUCUUUUUUAUCUUUCUUCCCGGAAUGGGAAGCUGCCUCACCUGCAGGAGUAGAAUGGCUGUGUCACCCAGGCCAUGA
rnacentral:lncRNA from 1 species